rnacentral:misc_RNA from 1 species
GAUGAAGAACGUAGCGAAAUGCGAUACGUAAUGUGAAUUGCAGAAUUCAGUGAAUCAUCGAAUCUUUGAACGCACAUUGCGCCCGCUAGUAUUCUGGCGGACAUGCCUGUCCGAGCGUCAUUUCAACCCAUCAAGCUUAGCGCUUGUGUUGGAGCCCUGCGGCCGCCGCAGCCUCCUAAAAUCAGUGGCGGGCUCGCUAUCACGCUGAGUGCAGUAGUAUUCUUCUCACUCCUGUGGUGUAGCGGGUAACCAGCCGUAAACCCCCCCAUCUAUAAAGGUUGACCUCGGAUCAGGUAGGAAUACCCGCUGAACUUAAGCAUAUCAAUAAGCGGAGGA